UACGUAGGGGGCUAGCGUUGUCCGGAAUCAUUGGGCGUAAAGAGCGCGUAGGCGGCCCGGUAAGUCCGCUGUGAAAGUCCAGGGCUCAACCCUGGAAUGCCAGUGGAAACUGUCGGGCUAGAGUCCGGAAGAGGCGAGUGGAAUUCCUGGUGUAGCGGUGAAAUGCGCAGAUAUCAGGAGGAACACCAAUGACGAAGGCAGCUCGCUGGGACGUGACUGACGCUGAGACGCGAAAGCGUGGGGAGCAAACAGG
rnacentral:rRNA from 1 species